rnacentral:rRNA from 1 species
AUUGAACGCUGGCGGCAGGCUUAACACAUGCAAGUCGAGCGGAGCGAGGGUGCUUGCACCUUAGCUUAGCGGCGGACGGGUGAGUAAUGCUUAGGAAUCUGCCUAUUAGUGGGGGACAACAUUCCGAAAGGAAUGCUAAUACCGCAUACGCCCUACGGGGGAAAGCAGGGGAUCUUCGGACCUUGCGCUAAUAGAUGAGCCUAAGUCGGAUUAGCUAGUUGGUGGGGUAAAGGCCUACCAAGGCGACGAUCUGUAGCGGGUCUGAGAGGAUGAUCCGCCACACUGGGACUGAGACACGGCCCAGACUCCUACGGGAGGCAGCAGUGGGGAAUAUUGGACAAUGGGCGGAAGCCUGAUCCAGCCAUGCCGCGUGUGUGAAGAAGGCCUUUUGGUUGUAAAGCACUUUAAGCGAGGAGGAGGCUACUUAGAUUAAUACUCUAGGAUAGUGGACGUUACUCGCAGAAUAAGCACCGGCUAACUCUGUGCCAGCCGCCGCCGUAAGAC